UACGUAGGGUGCAAGCGUUAAUCGGAAUUACUGGGCGUAAAGCGUGCGCAGGCGGUUAUGUAAGACAGAUGUGAAAUCCCCGGGCUCAACCUGGGAACUGCCUUUGUGACUGCAUAGCUAGAGUACGGCAGAGGGGGAUGGAAUUCCGCGUGUAGCAGUGAAAUGCGUAGAUAUGCGGAGGAACACCGAUGGCGAAGGCAAUCCCCUGGGCCUGUACUGACGCUCAUGCACGAAAGCGUGGGGAGCAAACAGGAUUGGACCCGUAGUCC
rnacentral:rRNA from 1 species